rnacentral:lncRNA from 1 species
GUAAAGAAAGAACUAUUAUUGAUAUAACUAUUGAAAUACAAAUAAUGUUAUUUACAUGUACCGUAGCAUCCUUAAAAAAAAGAGUUAAAUGGCGUGAAAACACAAAAAAAUUGCCUUUUUCAAUUUACAAACCGAAAGUUAAAAACAAUUUUUUGGUGUUAGAGGAGUUCCUUGGAGGUAUUGACGGUGGUUUUGAGCAAACUCAUACUAACCCCGGACUAAUCCGAGGGGAAAGGGUAUUCCACCAUUAUUUAAGAGCCCCUAAACUAUUUAUUAUACUCCUCCUAACCAAUCCUCUCGAUCCAUUUCUAAGAUGAUUGGAUUGAAUUUAAAAAAUUGCAAGGACAUUGUAUUGCAAUUAUGUUACUCACAAUUGAAGGUUCUCCCCUGGGGAAUGGAAUAUACAAAUAUGCAAAGAUAUUUGUCAUCAAUAAUAGACAGUGAAGUUUUUACAAAAUGCGUGCAAAUCUCUCUAGGGCAAUCUUCCACGGCCAAUUUUCCCCAGGGCAGUUUUCCUAGUACCAUAAUAUAGCUAUAAUAUAUUAAUAUUAGCUUAAUUAUUAUUUAACAUGCCUACGUGCGUAUUUAUGGCACAAAUAUUAAUGAUUUGCAACUACAAAAAUAAAGAUUUUUAUAGUACAAAUAUAUAAAUGAAUAAAUAUGACCUUAGACAAGUGUAAUAUUUUAUCCUCUAUACAAAGACAUUAUCUGCACAGAAACCAAUUAUACGAUCCCAAAAAUUAUUAUGCUACGAGUAAGGAUGGAGUUUUUUUGUAAAGCGCGAGAAGGAAACAAGAGAGUGAGACUUUCAAAAUUAUGGAAUUAAGGCUCUUGUUAACAUCAGCUCCCUGUUGUAUGAUUUUAAGUGGAGAAAAUGAAUUACUACUAUAAAGAGGAGAACUCUAUACAUCUAAAUUAUCAUUAAUGCAGAGAAUAUAUUGUAAUUAUGUUUCAAUCAAUAGCAACUAAGUAAUGUUUGUCUAUAAUCCGUAUAAAAAUAAUGUUAUCUAAGAAAUAACAAUUUAGUCAUAUUAAUGAAAUCUCUUGAGAUUGUUGCAUGUAGUAUCGAGCGUGCGCUUCAUAUAAAAAAAUAAGGAAGGAAAAAUGUGGACAUAUGUAUAUAGUUGUAUUAGAACGGUAUGUAAAAAUGAAUACAAUUUUGCUCGUGUCAAUUCAUAUUUAAAACAACUCUACUCUAUAAAAUAUGAGUUUCGGACUCAUUUCUAAUAAGGAGGGUGUGUAAGUAAAGCUCCAAUUAUAAAUUUAACAUAAAAAGGAAGUACAUUAUAUGGGGGUUUAGCAGGAUUAUAACUAUUUUUGGGGGGCGCGUUUAAAAUUUUAAGUGUUCAGUUUUUAACAUCAGGUACAUCAGGCUCCAUGCUCUGUUUUUGAAAGUGGGGAUGGGCCCAUAAAUGUACUAAAAAACAGAACAUUUUUACUCCUACAUUAUAAUUUUGAGUUCUCAAGAAGUGGGGUGACGAUGGACCCCCUAUGUUGUGGCCCCCGUACAUUCACAUUAAGUAGCUAAUACAUGUGCUAUUAUUUUUGUAAUGGUUGAAUAUUUUUAUCCCAUUAAUAAGUUACCUACUUUUUUAUGAUCAAUCAAAAACAUAAUUAAUUGUAAAAAUCUUGCCAUUUUACCCACCUAAUAUUCAUUUGAUUUUAAUCAAAUGUCAAUCUUUUUUAACAGCAAGUUUUAUACAUUUUAGUCUUUUGUUGUUGUUUUUUUUUAAUAUUUAAGGUCGACUAAUGAAUUUCCUUCAAGAUUUAAUGGAAAUAUUUCCUUGUUUUUUAAACCGAUAUAUCAACUCUAUGUUCCCAAAAUGUUGCCGUCUUGUCUUAUGAUGCAAUUUGUUUCUGACUGACAUCACAAUUGCGUCAUAAUUUAGGAACUUAGUUGAUAUUGAUACUUCAUAAAAUUUGAGUAAUUUCCAAAAAAUAUUGAUGUAACUUCAUACAAUGGGUCUAAUAACAAUAUAAUCCAACGACUUUAACCCGUCCAACAAGUUGAAAAGAAUAACCGUGGUUAGGAUGAUUUGCGCUGGGACUGUGACAUCAUGAAGAGUGGUUGCAUGCUAAGGAACACAGUGAAGACUAUCAGGGCCAUUUUUCAUUUUUUUAGCUCUCAAGUCCCAGAUGUGGCUUUCUAAGAACUCGGAGGACUACACCAGCCCAAACGUAUAGCCUCUCAACGGCCCCGACUGGAAUCCCUGUGACUUCUACCUGUGGGGCGCAGUUGAACGGGACACCAACCGAACCUCGUGCAACAUGGUGGCCGAGUUAAAGCAGCGCAUCAUUGUGAUUUUCAAUUAGUCUGAGGGACCAGGUUGAGCACGCCUGCAACAGGCUCAGGUCCAGGCUGAAGAAGGUUUUGUAAAUUUUUUGAAAGGUGUCUAAAAUAUCGCGUCGACACUGUAUAUAUAACAUAAAUUAUUUUAUUUAAGUAAAUAUAUAACAGUGUUGAUAAUUUUAUCAUGACAGCUAGUAACACCCCUGGUUAAAAUCAUAAUUUCAAUAUAUAUACAUUAUAAUACCCAGUUGCCAGCCUUAUGUUUUUUUCAAAAUAUUGCCUUUCCUUUUUGACAAUUGCAGUUGUGAAUGGAUAAAAAAGCCCGACGUGGUAAGUGAUCAAUAAUUAUUAAUUGAAUAACAUUGUACAGCAAUUUAUAACGUCAAGUAUAUUGUUGUUCCUACCUAUAUUUAUAUUAAUUAAUUAUCGAAGUAGAAUCGUGAAAGAUGACGUAGUGUGAUAUCGUUGGAUCAUUGACCGUUUGUCUGAUUACAUAAUGCUCUCAUCGUCGUAAUAGACUCAUAGUCUCUUUUCAGGUGAAUAGAAUAACAAAAACAAAACAAAAAAUGCUUACAUAUAUGUUAACCUCAAAAGUGUUUUUUUUUCUAUUUUCACCUUUUCUAACCAAGCUGUGAUUGCGUAAUGAAAUAUAUUCUGGAAUAAAAAGAUGUCCAUGAUUAUGAAAAAGAAGAAGCGGAGGCAGUAUUAGUAUAGGUGUAUUGAUCCUGAACCUUCGGGAAUGACACAUUUCUUCCUCUUCUUAUAUGAUUCAUCGUUUACAGACAAAUAAUCUAUUACGGCUGUCUGAGAUAAUGUUUGUAUAUUGUAUUAAUAUUAAAUACAUUGAUUCAAUUUCAUGAGAAAAAUAGUCGUUUAUGUCGUCAUCAAGACAAAAAUUAUACAGGGUGUUUCGGAAUAAGGGUUCCAUGGGAAAAAUAUAUAUUGAAUAUUAAAAUUAA